AAACUAAGCCGCCUCUCAAUGCAUUCUCCUCUCCUUACCCUUGCGCCUCAACUUCUCUUCUUCUCAUCCAACUAGUUCGAUCGAUCAAAUUAUCUGGUACUUACUCCUAUUUUCUAAUCGUAGAAGAAGAUGAUGGAUUCAUCCGCUGAAUCUUCAAACUCGAAGGGAACGAAGGGAUUUUCAGUAAACCUAGCUAUUCUGGAUUGUAACCAAGCUGCAAGUUAAUUUGUCGUGGAUGAAGGAUGAACGAUAAUAACUCUGUUACACCCAGAAACCCCGAGACAAUGGAAAUCUCACCGCUCUUUGGUGGUGAUAUCAUCCUUAUCAAGGACAUAUUGAAGACACAAGGGGGACGCGUAGAUUGUUCAAUGCUGUUGAAUCUAUUCCCCGUGUUACAAGGAAGGAAAAGUGGGCCUUGAAUUGGAUUCGAAGCUGGAGAUUUAUAGGUUUCAGCACAAGCUGUUCUUGUACGAUACAAACAUCGACAAAUGUUAUCAGGUUUUCAAAGUUACCUAAAGCUGUACUCUAUACAUCAAUUUAGAAGCUUGCAAGUUAUAUGGAAAUUGAUGAGCGUUCUUUAAGGUUGAUGAUUAGAGAUUGGGAACCAAAAUUGUUUUCACUUUUCCCAGUUUAGGACCUGCACAUCCCAGGCCAAUUUUUAUGACUUAGAAGCACAAAAGCCAUCCUGUUUCUGUUGACGGCUGAAAGAUUACCUCCAAUGCGGGUUAAUUUACUUUUUGAUGCCUGUGACUGUGUUUUUAGAUCUUUUGUACGGAUAUUAUUGAUUUGUAAGAAUAACUAUAUGGCACACUAUACAGGAAUCAGUGUAUUGUAAUGUUUUUCAAAUAAAUAAAUAAAUAGAAUGUUCACUUUCAA